CCCUUAGAUGUUCUGGGCUGCACGCGCGCUACACUGGUGCGUUCAGCGAGUUUAGCACCUUAACAGAUAUGUUUGGGUAAUCUUCUGAAAACGCACCGUGAUGGGGAUCGAUUAUUGUAAUUAUUAAUCGUCAACGAGGAAUUCCUAGUAAGUGUGAAUCAUCAGUUCGCGCUGAUUACGUCCCUGCCCCUUGUACACACCGCCCGUCGCUGCUACCGAUUGAGUGGUCCUGUGAAUUAUUCGGACCGGUGGACUGUGGGGAAACCCGCGGCCUGCUGGGAAGUCUUGUGAACCUUAUCACUUAGAGGAAGCAGAAGUCGUAACA
rnacentral:rRNA from 1 species